GAUGAUAAGUUCUUGAGAGAUACCAUUUUGAACAUGAUGCUUGCAGGGACGGACACCACCAGCUCUGCUCUUACUUGGUUCAUUUGGUUGGUCUCGAGGCAUCCGAUAGUGGAGAACAAGAUCAUAGAAGAGCUUCAAUCAAAACUACCUGCCGAGGAAACCAAAAAGAGGCGGCUAUUCAAUGCUAAAGGAUUUGGUUUAUCUACACGGAGCAUUAUGCGAGGCAUUAAGGUUAUAUCCACCGGUACCAUUCCAGCACAAGGAACCUCUCAAACCAGACAUACUUCCAAGUGGGCAUCCAGUUCAUCCAACCAUGAAAAUAUUGUUUAGUUUGUACGCAAUGGGAAGGAUAAAGUCUUUCUGGGGUGAAGAUUAC
rnacentral:lncRNA from 1 species